rnacentral:rRNA from 1 species
UACGGAGGAUCCGAGCGUUAUCCGGAUUUAUUGGGUUUAAAGGGUGCGCAGGCGGGAGAUUAAGUCGGCGGUGAAAUUUUGCAGCUCAACUGUAAAAGUGCCUUCGAAACUGGUUUCCUUGAGUGUAGAUGAAGUAGGCGGAAUUUGUGGUGUAGCGGUGAAAUGCAUAGAUAUCCCGAGGAACUCCGAUUGCGAAGGCAGCUUACUAAGCUACUACUGACGCUCAGGCACGAAGGCGUGGGGAUCAAACAGGAUUAGAUACCCUGGUAGU